AUGCGCCCUUUCCCUGUCUGCAGCAGCCAGCGAAGGCCAGCUAACUCGUCGCCCGGCGCACAGCUGCCCGGGUCGCUCCCCACCGAGCUGGCCUGCGUUGAGCACCUGCGCCACCUCUACCUAUCCGGGAACGGCCUCAACGGCAACCUCCCCGCCGCGCUGCUGCUCAACGCCACCGAGCUGCACGUGCUCUUGAUCGCCAGCAACGACCUCUCCGGCGCGCUCCCGGACGCGUCCUACGCGCGGGUGCUCCAGGAACUCAACCUAUCCGACAACGCGCUCGCGGGCUGGCUCCCCACCACGCUCCUCAGGGCGCCCGGGCUCGCCGUGUUGGGCCUCGCCAACAACUACCUCGCCGGCGAGCUCCUGGGGCAUGAAGACGAGGUGUUUGUUGAAAUGACUAAGAGAGAUAUAGGAGGAGCAAGAAGAUAG
rnacentral:rRNA from 1 species